rnacentral:misc_RNA from 1 species
AGAACACCGAUUGCGAAGGCAGCUUACUGAGCCAUAACUGACGCUGAGGCACGAAAGCGUGGGGAGCGAACAGGAUUAGAUACCCUGGUAGUCCACGCCGUAAACGAUGAUCACUCGCUGUUAGCGAUACACAGUUAGCGGCUAAGCAAAAGCAUUAAGUGAUCCACCUGGGGAGUACGGCCGCAAGGCUGAAACUCAAAGGAAUUGACGGGGGCCCGCACAAGCGGAGGAACAUGUGGUUUAAUUCGAUGAUACGCGAGGAACCUUACCUGGGCUUAAAUGUUGAGUGCAUGAGGUAGAAAUACUUCUUCCCUUCGGGGYUYUCMKYRRGGUKYYGCAWGGUUGCUCGUCWGUCWCUGUGCCGUGAGGUGUCGGGUUAAGUCCCAUAACGAGCGCAACCCUUAUCGUUAGUUGCCAGCGGGUAAUGCCGGGAACUCUAGCGAAACUGCCGGUGUAAACCGAGAGGAAGGUGGGGAUGACGUCAAAUCAGCACGGCCCUUAUGUCCAGGGCCACACACGUGUUACAAUGGCCGGUACAGAGGGCAGCUACCUGGAGACAGGAUGCGAAUCUCCAAAGCCGGUCUCAGUUCGGAUCGGAGUCUGCAACUCGACUCCGUGAAGCUGGAUUCGCUAGUAAUCGCGCAUCAGCCAUGGCGCGGUGAAUACGUUCCCGGGCCUUGUACACACCGCCCGUCAAGCCAUGGAAGUUGGGGGUACCUGAAGUCCGUAACCGCAAGGAGCGGCCUAGGGUAAAMCSWGUKACUGGGGCUWAGUCGUAACAAGGUAGCCGUACCGGAAGGUGCGGCUGGAACACCUCCUUUCUGGAGAAGUUCAAUCAAAAACAUCUCCCUGGUUUAUUACUUCAUUAUUAUAAAUUUCGGAAGGUCCCCUCCCGGACCCGCUAUGGCGGGAAACAGGAGGUUGAAAGGGCUGAUCCGGAACAGGAAAUCGGCAGUCGGGCCGUUUGGAGAGAUUCGAAUUCUCUAUUUCCGCAAUUUGAGGCAGGGUUGUUCAAGGUUCCAGUUGAGGCAAACCACAACACGCAACCUGCAACCUGCAACUCAUAAAGUUCUUUGACAUAUUGGCAAUAAAAGUUAAUAAAAUUUUGAUUACUCAAGAAAGUAAAUAAGAGCGCAUGGUGAAUGCCUUGGCUCUCAGAGGCGACGAAGGACGUGACAAGCUGCGAUAAGCUGCGGGGAGGAGCAAAUAUCCAUUAUAUCCGCGGAUUUCCGAAUGGGGCAACCC